rnacentral:misc_RNA from 1 species
GCCUAGCCGCGAUAGUAACGGUUACCCCGCAACAGGAAGUGGGAAAGCUGGCGGGUUUGGUGUGGGGAGGGUCGGCGUGAGGAGUAUGAGUGGAUAGCGCGAAACAGC